GCCUAACACGUUUCUACGCAAAAAUGCAUUGUUCUCUACAUGGCGUAAUAUGCAAAGGAAAAUUUCAAGUGACGUGUCACAACCCAUCCCUGCUUUCCGCUCUUUUUUUCAUUUAUUUUCUUGUGUUUAUCAACUGUUGUCUGUGUAUAAUCAAUCGAUUCUGAUUACUAAUUACGUCAGUCAGUAGCGAUUUUCCCAAUAAAUAGCACGAUGUUCAACGUUUUUCGACAACUGACAUUUAGAAAAUAGGAUAUAAAAAACGAGAGCCGAUUUACAAAAAAAAAAAAAUGGACACC